ensembl:lncRNA
AUGUCAGAAAUAAUUCUUCAUUAUAUAGGUUUGGAGCCUUGCAGACUGUAUAUUAUUGCUGUGAGAGGGGACAGACUUGCUGAUAAACUAGGGAGGGUGCUCCAGGAGGAUUAUUUUGUUCCGUACCAUUUUUAAUUCUGUCUCAUAUUUUGUGUUUUAGGAAACAGUACCACGUUCUGACUCUGUCACGUUGAAAUGGAAAUACAGGGCUCAGCAGUCACUGUAUUGCCAGAGCCUAAAAAUGCUCUGAUCAUCAUUGCCUCUGUUACCCUCCCUUGUGUUGUGUGUUGUCCUUGGUUUCUAAAUGCAUUUUCCUCAGCUUCUCCUAGGCUGAAUUGGAUCAUUGGAAGGCCAAGUUUCUAGAUCUUUAAAUAUCAGUGCAUUACUGGUUCCUCUUCUGCUGGAGCAUCCUCUUGCUAGGAACCAAAAUCUAGUGCUAAAGAAAAGCCAGCCUGAGAGGAAAGCUACAGGAAAAUAUUUUCUCCAUGAUUUUUUUUAAAUUUUUAAUAUCCAAGACUAAGGUAGUCUAGUGCAUAGGAUGAUAUCUACAUUCAGUUAUCACUUCUGUGUCUGGAAGUCUUGCUGAAAAAGUAAAAAUAUUUUCAAGACUUUGAAUACACUUAUUUGAUGAUACAGAUAAUAUGAAAUGGCAGUAUUAAUAUGAAGUGCAAUUAAAAACAUAGUCUUUGUUGCCAGUUUGUGAUAGGUUCAUCUGAUAUUGUUGUAAUAGAGCCAUAAGUUGCUCAUCAGGCUGAUAGUUGUUUGAGCUCCAAGUUUUUUUUUUUAAUUAAGUGUUUUGAAUCAUGAAUGCAAAGUUUGCGAAAUUCUCAUUUUAGGAGAGUUUUUAAACUAUUAGCUAUUACAUAGAAAACAAUGUCAAUUAUUAAGAAUAACUCGGGCUGGCAGUACUUAACUUCAAAUGAAUAUAAUUUUAGGAGACGUGACCACUGAAGUGCCAAAAAUGUACCAGCUGUAAGUGUGUGUGUGUGGGCAGAAAUAGUAAAUAAACACAGCAGAUUUUGUCCCCCCUACCUCACAUAUCACAGCAUACUGUAAAUAAAAGUACAAUUUCAGCAAGGCCUGUAGGAUUCACAAUGUGCCUGACCCAGGCGUGGUCCAGACACAGACCCCACCAAUCAGCAUCCCUACCUACAGCCAGAUCCAGCGUGCAAGCGAAAGCAGUCAUGGUGAGAAUUGCCCGUGGCCUUGCAUAAUUUAGAUGAUUUUGUGGGUGUUGGAAUAGCGCUGUGUAUUUGGAUAGAAGCAGUUUAGCAAACAUUCAAAAGAGGUUCUUGUUCUUGAGUGCGAGUUUUCCACACUCUCAGCUGCGUGUCCAUCCGAAGCAAGCAGCACAUCCACGUGGAUGGGGUUAAAGGUGUGUAAACAGAAAGCAAAGGAGACAGGCAGUUGAUGUCUGCACCUAAGGAGCUGUUUGCCUGUUCAUCAGUUCCAGAAGUGACUUGCCUUUUGACAAGCCAUGUGGUUACUUUCCCACUUUUCCUUCCUUGCUGCCUACUCCAAGAGGCUGUGCCUCCUUCCCUGCCAUUAGGGAAAGCUUUGCUACCCCCCCAUUACGUCUCCCAAAUCUCCUGAGUGCUACAUCUCUUUUUGUUCUGUCUAUUUUAGGCCAACUAAGUAAAUCUCAUCUGCUAGGCAUGCUUGCAUUGCUUCCCAGUGUUUCUCUAGGGCAACAUUUUGUGUUCCCUUCUGCUUUGAAUGGAAUAGUUGGGGUAUUCUGCUCUUUUGCAGCUGGUUUAAAAAAAAAGAAAAGAAAAAAA